GUAGGUGACCUGCGGAAGGUCAUUAAUGAAUUUUACACCACUCGCUGUGGGUUGUAGCUGGUCUUGAAGUUGCAUUCAAGGCAUGUGCACGCCCCGGUGAUUCCAAAAAUUCUUACACCCCUGUGUGCACCUCCCACGCAGAAAAAAGAAAGGUCGGAAUGUUUCUCUUGUGUGAGAAACGUGAAGGUCUCGGCUUUUUUGUUUGCUUGUGGUUUUGUUUUUAUACACACACACACGUUAAGUAGAUGAAUGUUUUUUUUAUUAUAUAUACCAUUGACUGCGUUGCUCGUCGCAAUGUGGACAAGAAAUAUAUAUGUAUACAUACAUACAUACAACUUUCAGCAACGGAUCUCUUGGCUCUCGCAUCGAUGAAGAACGCAGCGAAAUGCGAUAAGUAAUGUGAAUUGCAGAAUCCAGUGAAUCAUCGAAUCUUUGAACGCACCUUGCGCUCCUUGGUAUUCCGAGGAGCAUGCCUGUUUGAGUGUCAUGGUAUUCUCAAGUCCCGCCCCUCUCGCCUUUGCGUUCAUUCACCCUUGAGCGUGUCAGGGUGGGAGGUUGGUCUAAGGGAUUUGGACUUGGAGACAUGCUGGAAUUUCCGUAAUUUCGGCUUCUCUAAAAUGCAGUAGUGUGAACUUGUGGGUUGCACGUGACUCAGUGUGAUAAUUAUCUGUGCUGUGUUGCGGGGGCGACCUGUCGCAUCUGUGAACAACAGUUUGCUUUUUGCGGGGGGUUCAUUGCUUUCAAACAGUCUGUUCGGUCAGACAAACCUGAUAUAUAUAUCUGUGAUCUGACCUCAAAUCAGGUAGGACUACCCGCUGAACUUAAGCAUAUCAU
rnacentral:rRNA from 1 species